GCCCAGGUGUAACAGCCCCAGCUUCUCAGGAGGCUAAGAAGUUCAUCAACUGGGUUCAGGAGUUCAGGGCUGUAGUGCACUACGGUAAUCUGGUGUCUGUACUAAGUUUGGCAUCAAUAUGACUUUCUGGGAGCGGGGAACCACUAGGUUGCCUAAGGAGGGAUGAACUGGUCCAGGAGGGAAACAGCAGAGCAAAACUCCCUGAUCAGUAAUGUGCUCUCACCUGUGAAUAGCCACUACACAGCAGUCUUGCCAACAUGGCCAGACACUGACUCUUGU
rnacentral:SRP_RNA from 1 species